UAAAGGUGGCUAGGUAGACACUGACUGCCUGUGCGUCCAAGACUGGCAACAGAAAAGCGGAAGAAAUGAAUUUUCAUGCAGUGAGGAGAACAUCCCUGAGAACGGACUCAUGGUUGGAGACUUGCGUGGCUGCGAGCUAGACCGGUAUGGGGAGUGGUGGAGACAGCUGUCCACCUGCGACUUGCCGACUGGCCCUGCCUCUGUGGAGAGACUGGAUCUUGCUCAGCACCACCAUGGCUGAUCCUGUCUUCUGUGCCAUCAUCAAAUUUAUUCCCCAAAGGACGCCUGUGGAGGGCACGAGGCUCUCGGGAAGGUGGGUCCCAACAGGGGUUCCUAGCUCCAUGGGAUCAUGUUCUGGUGGAUCAGUGAUGCUCCAGUGCUUGUCUGGCCUCUGGCG